rnacentral:rRNA from 1 species
UGAACGCUGGCGGCGUGCUUAACACAUGCAAGUCGAACGGGGUGCUCAUGACGGAGGAUUCGUCCAACGGAUUGAGUUACCUAGUGGCGGACGGGUGAGUAACGCGUGAGGAACCUGCCUUGGAGAGGGGAAUAACACUCCGAAAGGAGUGCUAAUACCGCAUGAUGCAGUUGGGUCGCAUGGCUCUGACUGCCAAAGAUUUAUCGCUCUGAGAUGGCCUCGCGUCUGAUUAGCUAGUAGGCGGGGUAACGGCCCACCUAGGCGACGAUCAGUAGCCGGACUGAGAGGGUGACCGGCCACAUUGGGACUGAGACACGGCCCAAACUCCUACGGGAGGCAGCAGUGGGGAAUAUUGGACAAUGGGCGAAAGCCUGAUCCAGCGACGCCGCGUGAGUGAAGAAGUAUUUCGGUAUGUAAAGCUCUAUCAGCAGGGAAGAAAAUGACGGUACCUGACUAAGAAGCCCCGGCUAACUACGUGCCAGCAGCCGCGGUAAUACGUAGGGGGCAAGCGUUAUCCGGAUUUACUGGGUGUAAAGGGAGCGUAGACGGUUAAGCAAGUCUGAAGUGAAAGCCCGGGGCUCAACCCCGGUACUGCUUUGGAAACUGUUUGACUUGAGUGCAGGAGAGGUAAGUGGAAUUCCUAGUGUAGCGGU